rnacentral:pre_miRNA from 1 species
UAACGAUAAUAAUGAUAAUGAUAAUGAUGAUGAUGAUGAUGAUGAUUUCAUCAUCAUCAUCAUCAUUAUCAUCAUCAUCAUUG